ACCCUUCUCGUAAAUCAAGGCAAGGGUGCUUGUGAGGGAGGAGGGGCCAAGGAGGCUACUAUAAAAGGGGAGCAUUUGAUAGUGUUUCCUAAGAUCUACACUCCGACUCACAGAUUUGAACUACGCAUAUUGAAAUGGCUCAAAAUCAAGGAAAACCCUCCGUCUGCGAGCCACAACCAGCCUGCCCUCCUCAACCAUUCUGUACUCAAAUAUACCCUCCUCAAAUAGACCCUCCUCAAAUAUGCCCUCCUCAACCAUGCCCUCCUCAACCAUGCCCUCCUCAACCAUGCCCUCCUCAACCCUGCUACCAGCAGGGCGGGCAACAUGGAGGCCAUGGACAUGGUGGGCAUGGACAGUGCGGGAAUUAAUAAAAAUGUCGUUGUUGUUUAAAGAUACUGUUUAACAAUAAAAUAAGAAUUACCAGUUAAAAAAAAGAGUUUGGCCAUAAUAUGUAAGGUGAAGCCUAAUUGCAAUUGUAUCUGGUUGUGUAUAUUCCCGGAAUAUGUUCAUUCUUCGUAAUCUUCCUGUAUAAAUAUAAUUUGAGGUCUCGCUUAGAAACCCGAUAUCUCAUGAAACCUUUGUAAGUUGUUCCUGCAAGAGGGCUUUGAAGAAGUAUGCUCCUGAGCGCAGUGGCGGCUGGUGAAUUUUAUUAUAGGGGGGGCUGAAAGUUUGUAAACCAAACCCCUGUAGGGGGGUCUGGGGGCAUCCUCCCCCCGUAGAUUUUUUUACGAUUUUCCCAUACAAAUGAAGCAUUCUGGUGCAUUCUGACAAAAUAAUAAAGACAAAAUAUAACAUUU